AUAUACCAAAGACUAAGUUGAUC
rnacentral:siRNA from 1 species